rnacentral:rRNA from 1 species
CUCCACAUACGCAUCCUUUGCUGAGGAUACGGUUAACGGAGCGAAAGCGACGUUCAACCGCAAAAGAAGCAGAGGGGGCUUAGUGGUGGGGUGACUGCGUACCUUUUGUAUAAUGGGUCAGCGACUUAUAUUCUGUAGCAAGGUUAACCGAAUAGGGGAGCCGGAGGGAAACCGAGUCUUAACCGGGCGUUAAGUUGCAGGGUAUAGACCCGAAACCCGGUGAUCUAGCCAUGGGCAGGUUGAAGGUUGGGUAACACUAACUGGAGGACCGAACCGACUAAUGUUGAAAAAUUAGCGGAUGACCUGUGGCUGGGGGUGAAAGGCCAAUCAAACCGGGAGAUAGCUGGUUCUCCCCGAAAGCUAUUUAGGUAGCGCCUCGUGAAUUCAUCUCCGGGGGUAGAGCACUGUUUCGGCUAGGGGGCCAUCCCGGCUUACCAACCCGAUGCAAACUGCGAAUACCGGAGAAUGUUAUCACGGGAGACACACGGCGGGUGCUAACGUCCGUCGUGAAGAGGGAAACAACCCAGACCGCCAGCUAAGGUCCCAAAGUCAUGGUUAAGUGGGAAACGAUGUGGGAAGGCCCAGACAGCCAGGAUGUUGGCUUAGAAGCAGCCAUCAUUUAAAGAAAGCGUAAUAGCUCACUGGUCGAGUCGGCCUGCGCGGAAGAUGUAACGGGGCUAAACCAU